GCCUGGGUGGCUCAGUCAGUUGAGCAUCGGACUUCAGGUCAGGUCACGAUGUCCCGGUUCGUGGGUUCGAGCCCCGCAUCGGGCU
rfam:Felis catus isolate Cinnamon breed Abyssinian chromosome E3, whole genome shotgun sequence.